rnacentral:rRNA from 1 species
AUGGGCGCCACCGUGCUCACCGGUGGUGUCAAUUUGGCGGUCAACUACAGCUGCGUCACCGCUUCCGCGCUCUGCCUUUUCAGGCAUGGCAAUCUCAAGGCGGUGGGUCUUGCUUCCGAGUAUAAUUUACCUCUUCGUGUGUUGUGCGCCUUUUUGAACUGCGUGGCCCGCGACACCCAGAAGCGCGUCGUCGGCGCGCUCCUCGGCACCUCCUCCCGCGGCGUCGUCGACAUCACCAACUCCUACGCUGUGCGAAUUGAGGAGGAUGACAAGGACCUGAGAAUUUGGUUCCUCGACAAAAAGAACCAUGCUGUUUUAGAAUUCUCAUCAGGUAUGCUGGACUUGCCGUGUGCGGUUUAUUUCUGCUGUGUACUGAUGAGUUGUUUGGGAUGCAGCCAAGGAGCAUGUUGUUGGCUGCCUGAACUCUUCGACCGCGCGCAAGGGUUCAUCCUGCCAUCGUCCACCCUGCCUGCAUAUGCAGGAGCCGUAGCCCAGCAUCACCCUGUGCAGCUGCGGCACGGGGCGAUAGCCUCGGCACAGCUGCACGGCCUCAACAUCCCCGUUGGUGUUGCCUGCUGUCCCUGGAUCCAGGAAAGACAGUGGGGGCGAUUGGCGACUUGGUGGUGCGGCUGCGGACAACAGAUUAAGGAGGCAAAGAAGACAUGCGACAAAGAGAGUCUUAAGGGAGAAGAUAUAGGAAGAAGUUUUGCGCUCGACAAUUUCAUGUUAAUAGAAGCUUUCCGCUCGUGGCCUUCAUCAUCCUUCCUUGGUGCGGAACUGGGUAACCACCCUAGCCAAGUAUGGAGCGCGAUCAUUGAAGGGAAGGAUGUGAUGAAGGAUGAGAUGAUGCGCCCAUACGAUUGCUUAAUGGAUAACCCCCAUGCCCGCGUGUCUGGACUUAUUGACACAACAACGACGACAUGGAUCGGGUCAAUCAAACCUUUCUCUCGAUUGAUACACCUGCUAUACUGGGGAUCCCUCUUUGUACAAGGAACAUCUCUGAUAUUUGGCCUUGGAAUUUUGAAAAGAACGGAAUUUUUUUUCGUGCGGUCGGCCUAUGCUAUGUUGAUUGCAACGAGGAAACGACGCGAGGCGUGGCCGGAAGGCGCUGUUGGAUCUUUAAAUUCAGAUGAUGACACCUAUGUUAGUACAACCUCUCCAAGAGUAAUUCGACCAAAAGCACCCCCUCAAGGUUUUGCAAAAACUCGUGUGGAUGCAGCUAUAGAAAGAAAUCAGAGGGGAGGAACGGCGGCCGCGGUCUGUCAUGAUGAACGGGGUGAAUAUAUUGGCAGCUCGGCGCUGGUCAUCUCAGGCAUGCAUGACGUUGCAACUCUCGAGGCGAUCGCUUGUCGUGAGGCUCUCUCACUAACUGAAGAUCUCCUUCAAAACUUCGUUAUUGCCAUGUGA